UACGUAGGGUGCGAGCGUUUGUCCGGAAUUAUUGGGCGUAAAGAGCUCGUAGGCGGUCUGUCGCGUCUGCUGUGAAAACUCGGGGCUUAACCCCGGGCCUGCAGUGGGUACGGGCAGACUAGAGUGCGGUAGGGGAGACUGGAAUUCCGUGGUGUAGCGGUGAAAUGCGCAGAUAUCAGGAGGAACACCGGUGGCGAAGGCAGGUCUCUGGGCAUUAACUGACGCUGGAGGAGCGAAAGCAUGGGGAGCGAACAGG
rnacentral:rRNA from 1 species